AGCAGCCGCGGUAAUUCCAGCUCCAAUAGCGUAUAUUAAAGUUGUUGCAGUUAAAAAGCUCGUAGUUGAAUUUCAGGCCUGGCUGGACGGUCCGCCCUUCGGGUGAGUACUGUCUGUGGUCGGGUCCUACCUUCUGGCGAAGCGUCAUGGCCUUAACCGGCCGUGGCGGGGAACCAGGACUUUUACUGUGAAAAAAUUAGAGUGUUCAAAGCAGGCAAUCGCUUGGAUACAUUAGCAUGGAAUAAUGGAAUAGGACAAUGGUUCUAUUUGUUGGUUUCUAGGACCGUUGUAAUGAUUAAUAGGGAUAGUUGGGGGCAUUAGUAUUCAAUUGUCAGAGGUGAAAUUCUUGGAUUUAUUGAAGACUAACUACUGCGAAAGCAUUUGCCAAGGAUGUUUUCAUUAAUCAAGAACGAAAGUUAGGGGAUCGAAGACGAUCAGAUACCGUCGUAGUCUUAACCAUAAACUAUGCCGACUAGGAAUCGGGCGACGUUGAAAAAUGACGCGCUCGGCACCUCAUGG
rnacentral:rRNA from 1 species